AGGGGUGGGCACUUUACCCGAUAUCCGAAGUGGCACCCGAACCCGAUCCGAAAAACCCGAACCGAAAUCCGAACCGAAGUAGCAAAAUACCCGAACGGGUAUUGAAUAAGGAGAGAUUGGAUACCCGAACCCGAACGGAUAAUACCCGAACCCGAAUGGAUAUCCGAAGAUAACCGAACAUAUGUAUAAUUAACCUUGUAUUUCUAGUUUAUAUCUCUCAUUUUAUAUAAAAUAUUUAUAUUGAUACUACAUAUACUUUAAGUUCAUAUGAUAUACAUAUAAUUACGGAAAAAAAUGAUUUGCUACUCAC
rnacentral:lncRNA from 1 species